rnacentral:rRNA from 1 species
CCUACGGGAGGCAGCAGUGGGGAAUAUUGGACAAUGGGCGAAAGCCUGAUCCAGCCAUGCCGCGUGUGUGAAGAAGGCCUUCGGGUUGUAAAGCACUUUCAGUGGGGAAGAAAGCCUUGGGGCUAAUACCCUCGAGGAAGGACAUCACCCACAGAAGAAGCACCGGCUAACUCCGUGCCAGCAGCCGCGGUAAUACGGAGGGUGCGAGCGUUAAUCGGAAUUACUGGGCGUAAAGCGCGCGUAGGCGGUCUGAUAAGCCGGUUGUGAAAGCCCCGGGCUCAACCUGGGAACGGCAUCCGGAACUGUCAGGCUAGAGUGCAGGAGAGGAAGGUAGAAUUCCCGGUGUAGCGGUGAAAUGCGUAGAGAUCGGGAGGAAUAACAGUGGCGAAGGCGGUCUUCUGGACUGACACUGACGCUGAGGUGCGAAAGCGUGGGUAGCAAACAGGAUUAGAUACCCGUGUAGUC